rnacentral:lncRNA from 1 species
AACAGUUUUUAUUGACAAAGGUCUAAGUCAUAGUGAAAAUUAUACAUUUAUUUUCAGAGCAUAAACAUUGUUUUGCACAUUAAAGAUUUAUACAAUUGAUUGUUGAUACAUGUUAAUUUUGCAAUUGUGAUAAAUUUGUUUUUUUAUAUCAUUCAAUGACUAUUUGCAUUCUACAAAAUGCAAUAUUUGCCUCACAUUAUUUGAAUGUUUCGGUUGUUUCGAUGUUUAUAAUUUGUUCAGAAUUUUAUAGGAAUAAAAUUGACAGUAUAACAAGUUUACAAUGUUUUGGCAUUUACUUCUGACAGUCUUUUCUAAUACAAGAGGGAAGCCAAACGUUCAAUUUAGGAUUAAAUUUAAUUUUAAUAUCUGAUAUUUGCUCAACCAUAGCCCCAAAACUCAAUUUGUAAUUGAUUUUCUUUUAAACAGCUAGUAUAUAAUCAAAAUUUCAAAGAUUUUCACCCAUCCCUCUAUCAUGUUAUUAAUAUUUGGUAUUUGUAGAAAAGCUGGCAUCAGUUCUGUGAACUAAAUUGUCUGAAAGAAACUGAUUAUAAAACAGGUCUUUGCUGAGACAGACUUUGAUGGCUUUCUGUGUAAGACUAUAGCCUGACCCGUACAGAUGGCAUAUCAGUUCUGAAAAGUUUGAAAAUUUUAUAAGCUGGAAGUCCUGGCCAAGUCUUCUGCAACUUUUGAACAUGGACUAUUCAUAUCUUGUAUACUUUAUACAAUGAACUGAUGAAAAUAACCUGAAAGAAUAACAAACUGAUUAUAAAAAUACACAAAAAACAACCGAAGCAGGCCAGUAAAAAAAAAAAAAAAAAAAAAUACCUACCUACCGACCCUAAUUUUUUGGGGCAUGCAACAGGAAACACACCUAUUUUUUUUUUUGGCCUUAUUGCCAAAAACUAGACUUUUUCAGAUAUUGUCUCUUAUGCAU